UACAGAGGUCUCAAGCGUUGUUCGGAAUCACUGGGCGUAAAGGGUGCGUAGGUGGCGUGGAAAGUCAGAUGUGAAAGCCCGGGGCUCAACCUCGGAAUAGCAUCCGAUACUCCCAUGCUAGAGUACUGAAGAGGUGACUAGAAUUCUCGGUGUAGCAGUGAAAUGCGUAGAUAUCGAGAGGAACACCUGAGGUGAAGACGGGUUGCUGGGCCGACACUGACGCUGAGUGCGCGAAAGCCAGGGGAGCAAACGGG
rnacentral:rRNA from 1 species